UGGAAUCCACACACCAUUAGUGACUGCUCUUUCUCCUAGCUUCCCUGAAUUUCUGUGAUUAUCACGUAAUUUAUUUGAGGUGUCCACAGUCAAGCUCACUGUGAGCUUAAUUCAAUGUCUUUAGAAAAUGAUCUGUCUCUGGGAAGAUGGCCUCAGGAGAACAGAAAAUGCCUUAACACCAAAGAGUGUCCUCUUACUCCAUGCUGAUGUUGUCCCUGCUCCAG
rnacentral:lncRNA from 1 species